AACGUAGUGAUGGAUUUGUGAGGUGGUGCUCAUCCCCCACCCUCUGCUUAUGUCCAAGAGUGCCCAGUUAUUUCUAAGGCUAAGGUUGAGGGAGGGACACGUUACAAGGUUUCAGGACAGAGGUAAAGCAGAUACAAUUCAGUGAACCAAAAUCAGAAGAGAGCUGAGUCUGUUUCCGCUUCAGCUCUAUAUUAAUCAAUUCUACAUUUGGCCAGGAAGACCCACUAGAACAAAUUUUGGUAUACCACCCACUAGGAUCUCUCAUUGCAUUUUCAGAGAACUCGGUGUCUCAAAUUUUGUAGGUAUGGUUUCUACAACAGAGAAACGAGGAUUCAUUCCCUCUAUCUCAUGACUGGAAUGGCCAGUGACAUCUCCCAAGCUCCCAGAAAAAGGAAGAGCCAUAGCCCUGCUGACGUGCCUUCUGUCCUAUGGAUAUGGAACAAAUGCCCAGUGUUCCAGAGACUGCUUAUUCUUCACCGGAACACAAUGGAAAAGCAGAUGGAGGUCGAAAUUGAAUUGCUGCUGACUGUUGUCCCUUGUUAUGGCCUGUGGAGAUAUGACAAUUGAGGAAGAACUUAGAGGAAUGCCAAGUAGCAGAGCAUGAAGCAGUGGGUGUGACCCACUGCCUUGGACAUUUUAUGGCUGAUAGCAUUUGGCAAGAAAAAGCCUGCAGCCUCUAUAGUGGUCUUGCAAAUAGAUCUCAACAUUAACCAUGCCCUCACCCAUAUUUGAUUUGCCCUGUAAUAUAUGCAUUUGCCAAAAUCCACUCUUCUAAUUGUCAGCUAACUCACUAGUCCCCUCACAAAAUACCUAAAAUAACUAAA